CCUCCCUAGGUUCCCCGCGAGCGGACCCCAGCGCGUGCCACGGGCUUUGUAGGAGGCUUCCAGCCUCGGCCCCGAACUUGGGCUGUCCCUGGCUGCCGCCGUGGUCUAGCUGCCCGUGCAAGGCGCCUCCGGGAAGCGGGUGCCGUUCGGCGCGCUAUCGUGCUUUUCUGCACCUGGAGCGGUGACCUCGCCUGCUUGCUGGGAUGGAAGCCUCGGCUCAGGGAACAUAUCGGGUCGCUCCGACUGUGGGGGCCAGAGAAUGGGAAUCGGCCAGACCUCGCCUGUCCCUGUCGUCCACCACAGGCUUCAGAAAUGCGAACUGCUCCUUUCACUUCCUCUAACCUGGAUGGGGAAACCGCCCGCCAAGCGAAGGCCAUUUUCCCAGCAACUGGGGCGGCCAGCUCUUAAUGCUCUUCGGGCGCCCUUGAAGCAUUUUCCGCCCUCUUGUGUGUUGAGUUUAUUCGGGUCCCGCAUAACGAAGUACUUGGUUCCUUCUGGAUCCUCGGGGUGCUACAGUGCUAACUUGCUCCUUUUGCUGUUUUGGAUUUCAGCAUUUCCUGUGUUCCAUCUGCAAGGAAUAUGUAGAAGAUCUGGCCCAGAUCCUUUGAGUUUCUAAAUUAACGAGAGCGAGCAGCAGAGUUCCCCGCUUUAAGGGAGAAAAUGUCACCCUUAGUGUUAUUGGACAGUCAUCCUACCAUCAUAUUGAGUCUUUUUGCAAAGUGGGUAUUCCUGUGAAAUCUAUGUUGAUCCUGAAAGAGAAAUUUAUAAAACACUGGAAAUGAAAAGAGGUGAAGAAAUUGCUCGGGGAGACCCAGCUUGGCAGGGCGGAACCCUCAUUUUAGGCCCAGCGUUCUCCUGAAUGAUAGGCUGCUAAACAGAAUUUAAAAAUACUGUUAAGCUGUGCAACUGAUGCAGCUCAAGACAGCAGCACCACAACCUGCUGCCUUGGCCCUGGGGUUAUUGACACUCCUGCUGGUAAAGGAACCAGCUUGCUGGAAGGGCGGGACACGUGCAGGGGAGAUGCUGGCGCCUUGCUGUCUCCUCCACCUGCACUUCUGACUGGUCAGUUUCAGGGAGGGUGCCUUGCUGUCUCCCCAGUGCACUUCUGACUGGUGGAUUUCCUGUCAGUUUCCAAGGCCUAAGAGUUCAUUGACAGCUGGCUGUAACUGACAAGACUGAAGCCCUAGCAGAACAACCCCCCCUGCCACUAUAUAAACCUCUGAGCAGAGAGCCAAAGGUCAGACCUCCAAGAGGGAGCAGGAGAGCUUGUUCCCCUCCUGGGUUCUCUCUGCCAGGAGGUUUGGUUUUUGUAGUUGUAAUUUUUGGUUUCUAUAA